rnacentral:rRNA from 1 species
GACGAACGCUGGCGGCGUGCCUAAUACAUGCAAGUUGAGCGAUGAAGCUUGGUGCUUGCACCAAUUUGAAGAGCAGCGAACGGGUGAGUAACGCGUGGGGAAUCUGCCUUUGAGCGGGGGACAACAUUUGGAAACGAAUGCUAAUACCGCAUAACAACUUUAAACAUAAGUUUUAAGUUUGAAAGAUGCAAUUGCAUCACUCAAAGAUGAUCCCGCGUUGUAUUAGCUAGUUGGUGAGGUAAAGGCUCACCAAGGCGAUGAUACAUAGCCGACCUGAGAGGGUGAUCGGCCACAAUGGGACUGAGACACGGCCCAAACUCCUACGGGAGGCAGCAGUAGGGAAUCUUCGGCAAUGGACGAAAGUCUGACCGAGCAACGCCGCGGGAGGGAAGAAGGUUUUCGGAUCGUAAAACUCUGUUGGUAGAGAAGAACGUUGGUGAGAGUGGAAAGCUCAUCAAGUGACGGUAACUACCCAGAAAGGGACGGCUAACUACGUG